rnacentral:rRNA from 1 species
CUUGACGAUCAUAGAGCGUUGGAACCACCUGAUCCCUUCCCGAACUCAGAAGUGAAACGACGCAUCGCCGAUGGUAGUGUGGG